AUGCUACGGGCCAUGACCAGCGUGUCGGAGCCGUUCAUGGAUGUGCUGUUGGACGGGUACUGCCCCGGCGGAGGGUUCGAGGGCGUGGCCACGCUCGUCGACGUCGGCGGCAGCUCCGGCGCCUGCCUCGCCAUGUUCAUGCGCAGGGUGCCCACCAUCCGCCAGGGAGUCAACUUCGACCUGCCGGACGUCGUCGCCGCCGCGCCUCCCAUCACUGGUGAGACCAUUGAUCCCCCAAUCCCCUACCCUACCUGCCCGUUGUCCUUGUCGUUGCCCUCUCCCCUGCAGUCUUCUCCUCAUGACAGAGCUUACCCAUCUGAAUUUUGA
rnacentral:rRNA from 1 species